rnacentral:rRNA from 1 species
CGGACGGGUGAGUAAUGUCUGGGAAACUGCCUGAUGGAGGGGGAUAACUACUGGAAACGGUAGCUAAUACCGCAUAACGUCGCAAGACCAAGGAGGGGGACCUUCGGGCCUCUUGCCAUCGGAUGUGCCCAGAUGGGAUUAGCUAGUAGGUGGGGUAACGGCUCACCUAGGCGACGAUCCCUAGCUGGUCUGAGAGGAUGGCCAGCCACACUGGAACUGAGACACGGUCCAG